rnacentral:rRNA from 1 species
CAAAACGACUCUCGGCAACGGAUAUCUCGGCUCUCGCAUCGAUGAAGAACGUAGCGAAAUGCGAUACUUGGUGUGAAUUGCAGAAUCCCGUGAACCAUCGAGUCUUUGAACGCAAGUUGCGCCCGAAGCCCCCGGCUGAGGGCACGUCUGCCUGGGCGUC